CAGCAGCCGCGGGAAUACGUAGGGUGCAAGCGUUAAUCGGAAUUACUGGGCGUAAAGCGUGCGCAGGCGGCUAUAUAAGUCAGAUGUGAAAUCCCCGGGCUCAACCUGGGAACUGCAUUUGAGACUGUAUGGCUAGAGUGUGUCAGAGGGGGGUAGAAUUCCACGUGUAGCAGUGAAAUGCGUAGAUAUGUGGAGGAAUACCGAUGGCGAGGGCAGCCCCCUGGGAUAACACCGACGCUCAUGCACGAAAGCGUGGGGAGCAAACAGGAUUAGAUACCCCCGUAGUCCCUGUCUCUUAUAC
rnacentral:rRNA from 1 species